rnacentral:rRNA from 2 species
UUCGGAGGUCAGCGGCGGACGGGUGAGUAACACGUGGGCAACCUGCCUGUAAGACUGGGAUAACUCCGGGAAACCGGAGCUAAUACCGGAUAGUAUCUUGAACCGCAUGGUUCAAGUUGGAAAGACGGUUUCGGCUGUCACUUACAGAUGGGCCCGCGGCGCAUUAGCUAGUUGGUGAGGUAAUGGCUCACCAAGGCAACGAUGCGUAGCCGACCUGAGAGGGUGAUCGGCCACACUGGGACUGAGACACGGCCCAGACUCCUACGGGAGGCAGCAGUAGGGAAUCUUCCGCAAUGGACGAAAGUCUGACGGAGCAACGCCGCGUGAGUGAUGAAGGUUUUCGGAUCGUAAAACUCUGUUGUUAGGGAAGAACAAGUGCGAGAGUAACUGCUCGCACCUUGACGGUACCUAACCAGAAAGCCACGGCUAACUACGUGCCAGCAGCCGCGGUAAUACGUAGGUGGCAAGCGUUGUCCGGAAUUAUUGGGCGUAAAGCGCGCGCAGGCGGUUUCUUAAGUCUGAUGUGAAAGCCCCCGGCUCAACCGGGGAGGGUCAUUGGAAACUGGGAAACUUGAGUGCAGAAGAGGAGAGUGGAAUUCCACGUGUAGCGGUGAAAUGCGUAGAGAUGUGGAGGAACACCAGUGGCGAAGGCGACUCUCUGGUCUGUAACUGACGCUGAGGCGCGAAAGCGUGGGGAGCGAACAGGAUUAGAUACCCUGGUAGUCCACGCCGUAAACGAUGAGUGCUAAGUGUUAGAGGGUUUCCGCCCUUUAGUGCUGCAGCUAACGCAUUAAGCACUCCGCCUGGGGAGUACGGUCGCAAGACUGAAACUCAAAGGAAUUGACGGGGGCCCGCACAAGCGGUGGAGCAUGUGGUUUAAUUCGAAGCAACGCGAAGAACCUUACCAGGUCUUGACAUCCUUUGCCACUUCUAGAGAUAGAAGGUUCCCCUUCGGGGGACAAAGUGACAGGUGGUGCAUGGUUGUCGUCAGCUCGUGUCGUGAGAUGUUGGGUUAAGUCCCGCAACGAGCGCAACCCUUGAUCUUAGUUGCCAGCAUUCAGUUGGGCACUCUAAGGUGACUGCCGGUGACAAACCGGAGGAAGGUGGGGAUGACGUCAAAUCAUCAUGCCCCUUAUGACCUGGGCUACCACCGUGCUAC